CAGAGUGAGCAGACUUUAGAGUAUAUUGCUGGAAAAAGAAAUUUACUUUUUACUUCACAUCUGUAUUCUUUUGCAAUAGUUCUUUCUUCUCCUUUUCAGGAUGCCAACUACUUAUUGAGAGGGUAGAUUAUUAAAUUAUUUGGUGACUAAUUUAGCUUUUUUGUUUCCAGCAGUAAUUUCCUAACACCUUCUAUGGGGCUGUAAUAGCCUGGAUGGUGAAAGGAGAGAAGGAGCUGAUUUGUUCCUUUAGCAAUUGGAGACACUCCACAGGUAUAUCAACUGCUGCAGAGUACCUAGAGAUCUGAUCAGUUCUUGCAGAAAGUCUCCUGCCCCUCACAGAUUCCAAGCACAACUGACUCAGAGACAUCUGUUACCAAAACACCUUUUGCACGAAGGUCCCACCUACCGUUCUGACAACUUACAGAUCAUGAAAAAAUAUUCUGCCUCCUGAAAUUCCCUCUGUGCAAUCAAACUCUCAUGUCUGGCUUCAUCCUGACAUGUUCUGAAAAGGCUUUAUUUGCUGUUGGCUUCUUCCAGAAAUCCUGCAUGUCAAUAGCAGAGAAGUGACUCACGGGAAAAAUAAAGCACUUGGUGAUCUUUUGGGUUAAGAGGCC
rnacentral:lncRNA from 1 species